rfam:Sphingobium sp. Leaf26 contig_1, whole genome shotgun sequence.
GGGCACGAUGCGGGAGAGCAUGGGAAGCCUUUGAGGCCACCCCGUCGCCGAAGGAGCAACCGCCCCGGAAUCUCUCAGGCCAAAGGACCGCAUCGCGCGC